rnacentral:tRNA from 1 species
GAGGGUAUAGCUCAAGUGGUAUAUAGCACAUGCUUAGCAUGCACGAGGUCCUGGGUUCAAUCCCCAGUACCCCCA